rnacentral:lncRNA from 1 species
CCGACAUUUGUCAGGCAAAUUUUCACUUGAGACAGAUGUCAUCAACAUGUUCCAAAAUACACUAUAAUUUUUUGGAAAAGCUACAAAGAAUCUCAACGCUCAUAUAUUAAGAUUUCUGGACAUAUGUGCAACAAUUAAGUAUCCAGGGGUUUCAAGCGAAGCAAUUAGACUAAGACUCUUUCCAUACAUAUUGAAGGAUUCAACAAGGGAAUGGAUAGACACUUGUCCGCAACAAAGCAUCACAACAUGGAAUCAGUUAAUUCACAAAUUUCUUAGCAAAUAUUUUCCACCGAAAAGGAUUGCAAAGCUAAGGGACGAGAUCACUACUUUUCAGUAAAUUGACUCUGAAUGCUAUUCAGAGGCUUGAGAACGAUAUAAAGGUUUACUUCACCAAUGCCCACAACACGGAUUGCAGAAGUGGCUUCAAGUGCAAUAUUUUUACAUUGACUUGAACCCGAUUAGCAGGGUUAAUGUAGACUCUGCGUGCGAUGGUUCUAUUAUAAAAAGAACUGAGGACCAGGUCUACCAAAUCAUGGAGGAUUUGGCAUUCACCAGUACACUUUGGCCUACUGAAAGAACGAGUGGAAAGAAAGUCGCUGCGGUAUUUGAAGUUGAUUAUUUAACAACAUUUUCAGCACAGUUGGCAUCAUUGGCAUAGAAGGUAGAUCAGAUAAGUGUAGCCCAAACAGUGGGACUGAAAUGCAAACAUUGUGGAGGGAACCAUGAGAGUGUUGAUUGUAACGUAGGAUUCCCUUUUUCUCAGAUAGUAGAAGAUGUGAACUACACUCGAAAUUUUCAAAGGCAACAACAUAAUCCAAACCCUAACACAUAUUACCCAGGCUAGAGAAAUCACCCAGGUUUUUAGUGGAGCAACAAUCAGGGAGCUCAGAUUGCGUUACAGCAG